GACGGCAGCUAUAAAUAUGCAUGGCUGACCGUGACCAAUAUUGCAUAUUGGAGUGUAUGAAAUGGCUUUGAGCGUCGAAAAGAAAGCGGAAAUCCUGAAGGAAUUCGGUCGUAAGGAA
rfam:Alcanivorax dieselolei B5, complete genome.